rnacentral:lncRNA from 1 species
GGGAAGCACUCCACAACCUCACCCAGGUCCUGUAUCCCUGCAAGACUGCAUUGGAAAGACUGAAGAGGCUGGAGUGCAGUGGCGCAAUUUUGGCUCACAGGAACCUCUGUCUCCCAGAUUCAAGAGAUUCUCAUGCCUCAGCCUCGCGAGUAGCUGGGAUUACAGGAAGCUAAAGAAUGAUGCGCUCCACCACAAUGAGGGACUAAACAACAAAAAGGAGGCGUGAGACUCAGGAAGCAAAAAAGGAGUUCAUCAUAUGAAGGAAUGAAGAUGGUCAAAAGAAAAACUUCAACCUCAUGCCAGAAGAUGUUCCAAGCUGUAUAAAUGCCUAACUCAGCUUCUAGUCCUUGGAAAUUAAGCAGCUCAUUGAAAAUUCAAGAGUUCCAGCCAGAAGCUACAGCUAGGCUCAGACGUUGAAAUCAGUCUCUCCUGCUGAUCAGACUGUGACAUAGCCAAAGCAAUAGGCCUGGCUUUUCAGUUAAUUCUCAGCGAGCCCUUCCUUUCCCUCUGUAGUGGUUGGUGUGGCAUUUAAAAUGUAACUCCUUUAUGUACACUGUAA